UCCAGCGCAAUAUCACCCUGUAGCUCUCGCCUGGUUUCUCAUUGAAGCUAAGCAGGGUUGAGCCUGGCAGUACCUGGAUGGGAGACCUCUUGGGGAGAACUAAGGUUGCUGCUGGAA
rnacentral:rRNA from 1 species